UUGCUGAUUGGCGGCGACGUCAUCGGCCGGCGCCGGCUCGGGAGCGGGAGCGGAGCGCCGCGGAGCGGGGCGGCGCGAGGGCUGGGGCCGCAGCCCGUCCUCGCCAUGUCCUCGGAGCGGCGGCCGGGCGCGGGCCGCGGCGGCGGCGAGGGCAUCAAGUUAUCAGCAGAGGUCAAACCGUUUGUUCCCAAACAUGCGGCGGUAACUGUGGCAUGGUCAGAACCCUCAGCAACAUGUGUCUUUCCUAGGUACUUAACUACAUGCUACCCAUUUGUUCAGGAACCAGCUUUGGAUAACAUUGUGGGAGAUCCUACGCUCGGUGAAUACUCCAGCUGCUCUUAUUCGCCUGAUGUUUCAAGUGUAUAUCCAGUACCAAGCUCACAAUAUCAUUCUAACAACUCUACAUACUAUAAUAGUUCUGGAAGAGUCAGUGAAUCUGCUGAACGAACAUAUCCAGUCAGACCAGAAAGUAGGAACGUUUCAAAGCAGAGGAGGUCGAAAGAGGGUGAGAAAAAAUUAGACAAGAAAAGGCAUGAUGGAGAUGACUCUUCCGGCAGAAUUGUGAACAGGACUUCUUUCCAGACCUCUGCAUGCAGCAGAGAUUCCAUGAAACCAGACAGGUUCAAUAAAGUGACAAACAAGAAGUCAACACAAACUCCAAAAAGAGAGAGUCUUCCUGUACCUGCUGUGGAAGCUCCUGCUUUGGAUUUCUCCAAGUCACAGAGUUUGGGAAGCAGUGAGGUAUUGGAUGUACAGUGUAGAAGCAGAUCAGUAUGUUCAGCGGAAAAUAAUGUUACGUGCCUUAGUCAACCACUGAAGACACAGAUGUCUCCUUUGUUCAACACAGAGGAAGAUGUUUCUAUGCAAAGCAAAGCUCCAUCAAAAACUUUAGAUGAAACAGUAGCCAGCUUAAUUCCCUCUUCAUUUGAUGGUAGAGCGCUUCCUCAAACAUCCGCAGAUGGUUCUGCUCAGGCACAUGUGUCUUGGGCCAUGGUUCUUUCACAGCCUCCAAAGAAAACUGUGUCAUCACCAGCAUCUGAAGGUCUUUCCAGAAGCAAAGGGAAGCAGGAUAGUCAGGGAAAGUCAGAAACAAGAAAUGAUGCCAGUGAAACUGAGCCUGAAGAAGGGUCGGAAAAGAAGAAAAAGAAGAAGAAAAAGAAAAAGAAACCUAAAUCAUCCACUGAAGUAGAGAAGCCUCAAAAUGAAACUACUACAGUACAGGAACCACCAAGGAUUGAGGAUGCUGAAGAAUUUCCUGAUCUGGCAGCUGCUUCUGAUAGGAGAAACAGACUAGGAUCUCAGAAGUCAUCAUUUUCUCCUGCUGUCAGAAAGCAGUCUGAAGUCGAUCUGCCCGAAGAGUCCUGUGAUAGUCGUUCUCCCAAGCUGGAUGGAAUGCCCAAGGUGGAUGGAAUAUCAGGGAAGCAAACUACAUCUGUUGCAUUAGAAAGAAAGAAAAUGCAGGAAACAUCCAAGAGCAGUGGUAAGAAGAGUCAAAUUCCUGUGCAGUUGGAUUUGGGUGGCAUGUUGGCAGUCUUGGAGCAGAAGCAGCAAACAGGGAAGUCAAAACAGUCUUCUAAACCUGUGGUGUUUUCAGUUGGUGGUGCCAUACCAUUGCUUUCUAAAGAACCUGCUGCAGCAACAAAAAAUCACCGGUUAAACCAAGGAAAGAUGCCUCAUAACCCUUUGGAUUCCAGCGCUCCUUUGGUAAAGAAAGGGAAGCAGAGAGAAGUCCCUAAAGCAAAGAGACCAACACCUCUUAAAAAGAUUAUUUUAAAAGAGAGAGAACAACGAAAACAGCAGCACCUGUUAGAACAGACAGCAAUACCAAAAGAUGGUGAUAACAUUUGUCAGACUGUAGAAAAUACUACUGAAGAUGAAGCACUUCCACAGGAUAGCGAAGCAGCUGUUCCUGUAAUGCAAGUUGCUGUGGCUCAGAGUAACUUUGAAGGGUUGCCGGAGGGCCAAGGAAUCAAGGAUUCUACAGAAAGCUCUACAGCUUCAAAGCAGCUAAACUCCAGUCUUCCAAAAAUCCACAGUAGGAGAUUUAGAGAUUAUUGCAGCCAGGUGCUUAGUAAAGAAGUUGACAGUUGUGUGACAGAUCUCUUAAAAGAACUGGUUCGUUUCCAAGAUCGCUUGUAUCAGAAAGACCCAGUAAAGGCCAAGAUAAAACGUCGGCUUGUUAUGGGACUUAGAGAAGUUUUGAAACAUCUGAGGCUGAAAAAGCUGAAGUGUGUCAUCAUCUCUCCUAACUGUGAAAAGAUUCAGUCAAAGGGUGGGUUGGAUGAGACCCUACACAACAUUAUCGACUGUGCCUGUGAACAAAAUAUCCCGUUUGUCUUUGCCCUUAAUCGCAAGGCUCUAGGCCGCUGUGUGAAUAAAGCAGUGCCUGUGAGUGUGGUGGGAAUUUUUAGCUAUGAUGGGGCUCAGGACCAUUUUCACAGAAUGGUACAGCUGACCACAGAGGCCAGGAAGGCAUACAAAGAUAUGAUAGCAGCUUUAGAGGAAGAAGCUGAAGGAGGACUAAGUGAAAAACCCUCCAGCAUCUUAACUACUGAAUACGGAAAAAGUGGCUUAUCAGAAACCAGUAAAACAUCUUCCAGAGACUCUGAUGAGGAUGUACCAAAUUAUAUUAAAAUCUGGAAAAAAAAGCUUGAAGAGGAGUAUAACCCAUAUGCCCUGGAACUGGAAAAGAGUGCAACCACUGACAUGCUGGCGUUGAAUUCAGAAGAGCAGCAGUAAAUCCAGAUUCAAUUCUGUGGGGCUUUAAGAUUAAGAAUGUGUGAAGAAGCCUUAUUGCCAGAACCGAUUGGCCCACACGUGUUCAAAGAAACAAGGAUUAGAAAAAAGCCUGUGAUCUGCUUAAUUACAGCUGAAAUGACUGGCAUCAGAUAACCAGAGAUGGUUCCAACAUGGGAUAGGUGGCCUUUCUUGUGGCAAGUAAGUUAUUCUUCGGUGCACUGAGGAAAUCCUGUUCCAUCUAAAGCUUCAGCUGAUUCUCCUGAGUAUCAACCCCAAUGCAAGUGCUAGUGCUGGCAAAUACCUCUUUGAAUGCAAUGAUACUAGAGUACUGGGCAUUCCAACCCACAUACAUUUCUUAUCCUGGCCUGUUCAUUCCUUUGUCCAUUAGAGGGUGUUUUUCUUGUUGCAGCUCUCCUGAAGGAGAAAAAGUUCAGAACAAAGUGUUAAUACAGGUUUAAAAUAAAAUGUUUUUUUAAAGGUGGCCUAUACUAUCUAUUCCACAUGCAACAAGUACUCAUCAUAUCCGGAAGAUACCAAAAGUAAUCUCUGUUUUAACUCUUGGAGAAAAACAUUGAAAGCAACAUACAGUUUUUUGGGUUUUUUUGUUUUUAAAGAAAGGCCAGCAUUGAUAGACAACACCAGUUAUGAAGUCUGAUAGUCUCUGCAACCCAAUUAAAGUUGUACAGAUGCAGUCAAAUGAAUCUACUAUGUUCAGUACAUGCAGUCUCACCCUUUUCGGCAGGAUGAUUUAUUUCUUACUGAUUUAGCUCUUGGUAAGUGGACAGAAGGAGGAAGCUGACAUAAUGGUAAUAUACAGAAUAAAUGAAAUAGGUCUUACUGUUCAGAGGGUCCAUCCAGAAUGACAACAUGCACAGGAACACUGAUCACUGAUUAUAAAAUUAGACUGUAGUGUGUUAUGUAGAGAGCACAGUAUGAGGUAUGUAUUCCAAAAAUUCUUACCCAUGUCUUCUUCCAGUUUUGCAUCAUCUUGUCAUGUUCACUGAUGGCAGUUCUCCAGCUAUCAAAUUCUUUGGUCCAUCCAUCCUGACCAGCACUAUCUGAAAAUUGUAAACGGAAUGAUUAUGUAACUAAGUAAUAAUUAAGUAGAUCUAUUCAAUUGCACUAAUUCUCAUAAACGGUAGGGCUUGAAGGAACAGAAGCCACACCAUCUUGUCCUCUGUUCUGCUCUACCUCUUCUCAAGUUAAUUGGAAAUAACCUCUAUUCAAACGGUCACGUCUUUCCCCUUUGCAGCAGACCUUCUAACCUCCAGAGCAAACAGCUUUGGUGCCUUUAAUCUGUGUGUCAAGGUCUGGAAGAUAUGACCUACCAGUUAGAAGAGCUAAAUCCAUCUAGAAGCACAGGAACAUUGCAGUUAGAUGAUAUCAAGGCCGGGGAGAGGAAUGACAAUGACAUGAUGCUGCUGACUAUGUUAAGUUUGUAAUUUCCCCCUUUUUUGAUAAUGUUAUGUAGCUAUUUAUUCUUCAUUUAAGAAUUUUAAAAAGCUGUUUUACUGCAUCUUAACUUGGCAAAAGUUUUAGUUCUAAUCCUGUUUGCCAGCUUUUUUUAUAGUCCCUACUACUGUAGUGGUGGCAUACACAGAUUUAAUAAAUAUUUUCUAUUUAUUCAAGACACUAGUGACAAUAUAGAAUCUUUUGGACCACAGUGAAAGCAGCCCACUGUUUCACACUUACUUACAGUAGUUUCACUGAGAUGCUUUUUUCUGCUUCUGAGACUAACUUUAAAAUGACUGGACUGCUUGCAAGAAACUAUAUGACUUCCUUUGCUGCUUUCUUUUAUCGCCGAAAAAAGCUGGGAUGAGCUGCUCUUGAAAAUUUCACAUUUGAUAUUGACCAGCUAAUUACAAAUAAUUCAUUUUUUUUCCUCCGGAAAAUACACUCUAUCAAUCAAUCACAUUCAUUCCUCCUCCUCUCUUUUUAAAGACUACUUAUACCCUUCUCCAGGUCUAAGUUCUCAAACACUAGCUGCAAAGAGUGCUGACGUUGCUUUGGUCAGUUCUGGGUACCUAAAGAUGAAUUUAUCUUGUCCAGGUGCUCAAGUCAGCUUGCUGACUUCCUGCCCAUUAGUAUCAAAAUGGAGACGUAAAAACUGUCCCCAUCUGGCUACAGAUGAUUUAAAAAUCAUCUGAUUUUCUUUAAAUGGAGAGGGAGGGCUGUCUCUAUUAUUUGACUUCCUUGGCAUUAAAGAAUUUUACUUUGUUACCCAGUAUAGUUCUUGCAAAGUAUUAUUCCUUUAUAAUCCUCCCUAAUACUCACCUGAUUUCCAAUACAUGUCUGUUAGUUUUGUUUGAGAUGAAAAAAAGAGCUUAUGAUUUGCCUCAGAUGUACUUAGUCUCCUAAGUUUCUGCAAGACUUUUGUAAGAUGUAGCAGUUACCAUUUCAUUUCUAGAUCAUAACUGCUAAUUUGCAGGUUAGUUCUUUGGGGGAGGGGGGAAAAAAUCAAUUUUUAUGGCUGUAAAAGCUUUUCAUAAACACUUGAAGUGGGUACCUCUCCACCUAUGUAUGUGUUUUAUGGGUGAAAUAAUUACAGAGCUCUCCUUGUAUCAGGGUCAGGACAAACAGGGCAUACAUUCAGCACCAGCCUACCUUUAUCUUCCACUCUGAUGAGCACUUCUGAUGUUGCAUUCCCAACUUUUGAGACAACUGAGCAUUUAUAUUCUGUACUUUCUGAUACUGAAUCUUUCAACCAGCUUAGAAUAUGCAGUCUGCCAUCAGCCAGCAUAUGAGAUUGCUCCAUGAUGCACACCUUCAUCUUUUCUCCAUUCUUCUUCCAGACCAAAUGGGAAUCAUCUGGACCUGUAAAAACAUCAGUCAGCUUAUGUUGGGAAAAUUACUAAGAAAAGUCUUUGAAUAGAAAAAUGAAAGACUAAGACUAAGAUUAGACUUAAAGGUCAAUUGUAAUGUUUCUUAGGUUUCUUUAACUGAAAUGCUGGGUACCAAAAAGCUGAGAUAAAAAAGAGCUAACAUUGAUAAUGAGGUUCAAGCGAAAGUUGUAAAUGAGCUCUUAGAAAGGAAGCAUCUGAUUUACACAAGUGGGAACUUACCUCGCAAACAUGAUAGACAAGAUAAUGAAAUCAGCACUAUCUGCCUCUGUGAUUACCUACAAAACUAGGUAAAGCUACCUAGUACUUGACUGAGCUAUGGAACAAAGUUGAGACCAUCUGAGACACGCAUUGUAAAAUCUGAAAUAAGGGACAGGAGGGAAAAAAGUUCAAGAACGCAGCACAUCAAAGAUGCUGGAACUAAUGAAGCAAAGUUGGAAAAAGCACAGAAUCAUUAGUCACAGCAAUUAGGCAAGACAGAACUUGGAAGAAGCUUGGAUUAACAACAAAGAGCAAUGUAAUCUUUUAGCCUUAUUGCUAUUAUUCAUCUCACCUGUGAGGAUGGAAUUUGAAUAAAUCAGAGAUUGACAGUAGCCCAGAGGACAGAACAGCUGUUCCCAGAAAAUUAGCAAGGUUGGCUGAAGUGUAUUUGGCAACAUCAGAGUUUUUUCAUUUAAAAGAAAAACAUCUGGGCCAAAGUAAGGACUUUGCCAUAAUACUGACUUUUAAAACAUGUCUGUUACUCCCUUGGGUGUUUAUGAUCCAGACUAGACUUAGCAAGAGAAGAUGUAAAAUUCAGAGUUGAGAGAAAAAGGAUUUUUGCAAGUAUGGCCUGAGGGAACAGGUAACUUACUACAGAAACUAGCUUUAACUAUGAGUAUUUUUGACUGCAAAUUGAUGUGGCAUUUUUCUGUAGAAAAAAUAUUUGAUUCUAGGUCUGUCCCCUGAAAACUGCAUCUACUUUAGAUCAUCAUGCAAGCAGACCAAGAAAAAGGAAGGUAGUCUUUUUAUCUGUGCACGUUCUCAAUGUAAAUUAAUCUGUUAAUCUGUCUUAAUCUGUUUGGAAAUAAAACUAAUACCCUACAAUCUGAAAUAAAAUAGUACUAAGAGCAA